rnacentral:rRNA from 1 species
CAGCUAGUUGGUGAGGUAACGGCUCACCAAGGCUUUGAUCGGUAGCCGGUCUGAGAGGGCGUCCGGCCACACUGGGACUGAGACACGGCCCAGACUCCUACGGGAGGCAGCAGUGGGGAAUAUUGCGCAAUGGGCGGAAGCCUGACGCAGCGACGCCGCGUGGGGGAUGACGGCCUUCGGGUUGUAAACCUCUUUCGACUUCGACGAAGCCUUUUGGGGUGACGGUAGGGGUGGAAGAAGCACCGGCCAACUACGUGCCAGCAGCCGCGGUAAUACGUAGGGUGCGAGCGUUGUCCGGAAUUAUUGGGCGUAAAGAGCUCGUAGGCGGUGUGUCGCGUCGGCCGUGAAAACCUGCAGCUUAACUGUGGGCGUGCGGUCGAUACGGGCAUCACUGGAGUUCGGCAGGGGAGACUGGAAUUCCUGGUGUAGCGGUGAAAUGCGCAGAUAUCAGGAGGAACACCGGUGGCGAAGGCGGGUCUCUGGGCCGAUACUGACGCUGAGGAGCGAAAGCGUGGGGAGCGAACAGGAUUAGAUACCCUGGUAGUCCACGCUGUAAACGGUGGGCACUAGGUGUGGGGGCCAUUCCACGGUCUCUGUGCCGCAGCUAACGCAUUAAGUGCCCCGCCUGGGGAG